rnacentral:rRNA from 1 species
CGGCGGACGGGUGAGUAACGCGUGGGUAACCUGCCUUACACAGGGGGAUAACACUGGGAAACCAGUGCUAAUACCGCAUAACAUCAUUUUAUGGCAUCAUGAAAUGAUCAAAGGAGGAAUCCGGUGUAAGAUGGGCCCGCGUCCGAUUAGCUAGUUGGUGAGGUAAUGGCUCACCAAGGCAGCGAUCGGUAGCCGGACUGAGAGGUUGGCCGGCCACAUUGGGACUGAGACACGGCCCAGACUCCUACGGGAGGCAGCAGUGGGGAAUAUUGCGCAAUGGGGGGAACCCUGACGCAGCGACGCCGCGUGAAGGAAGAAGGCCUUCGGGUUGUAAACUUCUUUGAUUGGGGAAGAAAAAUGACGGUACCCAAAGAACAAGCCACGGCUAACUACGUGCCAGCAGCCGCGGUAAUACGUAGGUGGCGAGCGUUAUCCGGAAUUACUGGGUGUA